UGCCCAAGCGGGGAAGGAUGAGAAGCUUCGACCAAGGUUCGACUCGAGCGCCAGCGAGAGAGCGUUGCCGCAGGCAACGACCCGAAGGGCGAAGCGCGCAGCGCUGAGUAAUCCUUCCCCCACCACCA
rnacentral:sRNA from 2 species